rnacentral:rRNA from 1 species
GCCGGCGACCGGNGUUUUUNUUGAGUAACACGUAUGGAACCUGCCCGUAGCAGGGGGAUAAGCGGAAGAAAUUCCGUCUAAUACCGCGUAAUAACUCCGAGAGGCAUCUCCUGGGGUUUAAAGGGUAACACCGGCUACGGAUGGCCAUGCGGCGCAUUAGCUAGUUGGCGGGGUAACGGCCCACCAAGGCGACGAUGCGUAGGGGUUCUGAGAGGAAGGUCCCCCACACUGGUACUGAGACACGGACCAGACUCCUACGGGAGGCAGCAGUGAGGAAUAUUGNUUUUUGGGCGCGAGCCUGAACCAGCCAAGUCGCGUGAGGGAAGACGGUCCUAUGGAUUGUAAACCUCUUUUGUCGGGGAGCAAAAGACGCCACGCGUGGCGUUCCGAGAGUACCCGAAGAAAAAGCAUCGGCUAACUCCGUGCCAGCAGCCGCGGUAAUACGGAGGAUGCGAGCGUUAUCCGGAUUUAUUGGGCGUAAAGCGAGUGCAGGCGGUUCAAUAAGUCUGAUGUGAAAGCCUUCGGCUCAACCGGAGAAUUGCAUCAGAAACUGCUGAACUUGAGUGCAGAAGAGGAGAGUGGAACUCCAUGUGUAGCGGUGGAAUGCGUAGAUAUAUGGAAGAACACCAGUGGCGAANGCGGCUCUCUGGUCUGCAACUGACGCUGAGGCUCGAAAGCAUGGGGUAUCGAACAGGAUUAGAUACCCUGGUA